AGCUUUGUGCAGUGGCCGUAUCACAGCCAGUGAGGCUUAUCUGAGGGGCGAUUAUUGCUAAUUGAAAACUUUUCUCAAUUUUUUUCCCAGCAAUAUUUAUAUAGGAAUCUUUUAUAUUUACAACCCCCCAAAUCAAUAAA